rnacentral:sRNA from 1 species
UUGAAGAGAAAAAAAACAGUCAGA